rnacentral:rRNA from 1 species
AACGAACGCUGGCGGCAGGCUUAACACAUGCAAGUCGAGCGAGACCUUCGGGUCUAGCGGCGGACGGGUGAGUAACGCGUGGGAACGUGCCCUUCUCUACGGAAUAGCCCCGGGAAACUGGGAGUAAUACCGUAUACGCCCUUUGGGGGAAAGAUUUAUCGGAGAAGGAUCGGCCCGCGUUGGAUUAGGUAGUUGGUGGGGUAAUGGCCCACCAAGCCGACGAUCCAUAGCUGGUUUGAGAGGAUGAUCAGCCACACUGGGACUGAGACACGGCCCAGACUCCUACGGGAGGCAGCAGUGGGGAAUCUUAGACAAUGGGGGCAACCCUGAUCUAGCCAUGCCGCGUGAGUGAUGAAGGCCUUAGGGUUGUAAAGCUCUUUCAGCUAGGAAGAUAAUGACGGUACCAGCAGAAGAAGCCCCGGCUAACUCCGUG